rnacentral:rRNA from 1 species
AGAGUUUGAUCCUGGCUCAGAACGAACGCUGGCGGCGCGUCUUAAGCAUGCAAGUCGAACGGCAAGAGAGGAGCUUGCUUCUCUCCUAGAGUGGCGGACUGGUGAGGAACACGUGGGUAAUCUACCCUUAAGAUGGGGAUAGCUGCUAGAAAUAGCAGGUAAUACCGAAUACACUCAGUGCUUCAUAAGAGGUAUUGAGGAAAGGAAGCUACGAGCUUGCGUCCCAUUAGCUAGUUGGUGAGGUAACGGCUCACCAAGGCGACGAUGGGUAUCCGGCCUGAGAGGGUGAACGGACACAUUGGGACUGAGAUACGGCCCAGACUCCUACGGGAGGCAGCAGCUAAGAAUAUUCCGCAAUGGGGGGAACCCUGACGGAGCGACGCCGCGUGGACGAUGAAGGCCGGAAGGUUGUAAAGUCCUUUUGUCCGCGAGGAAUAAUAUUGGGAGGAAAUGCCUGAUAGGUGACGGUAGUGUAUGAAUAAGCACCGGCUAAUUACGUGCCAGCAGCCGCGGUAACACGUAAGGUGCGAGCGUUGUUCGGAAUUAUUGGGCGUAAAGGGCAUGCAGGCGGCCGUGCAAGCCCGGCGUGAAAUGGCGGGGCUCAACCCCGUCACUGCGCUGGGAACUGUGUGGCUAGGGUCGCCGAGGGGCAGCCGGAAUUCCAGGUGUAGGGGUGAAAUCUGUAGAUAUCUGGAAGAACACCGAUGGCGAAGGCAGGCUGCCAGCGGACGACCGACGCUGAGGUGCGAAGGCGCGGGGAGCGAACAGGAUUAGAUACCCUGGUAGUCCGCACAGUCAACGA